rnacentral:rRNA from 1 species
AUUGAACGCUGGCGGCAGGCCUAACACAUGCAAGUCGAGCGGAUGAAGGGAGCUUGCUCCUGGAUUCAGCGGCGGACGGGUGAGUAAUGCCUAGGAAUCUGCCUGGUAGUGGGGGAUAACGUCCGGAAACGGGCGCUAAUACCGCAUACGUCCUGAGGGAGAAAGUGGGGGAUCUUCGGACCUCACGCUAUCAGAUGAGCCUAGGUCGGAGUCGCUAGCUGGUGGGGUGAAGGCCUCCCCAGGCGACGAUCCGUCACCGGUCUGAGAGGAUGACCGGUCGCACUGGAGCGGGGACAGGGUCCAGAGUCCUGCGGGAGGCAGCAGUGGGGAAUAUUGGACGAUGGGCGAAAGCCUGAUCCAGCCAUGCCGCGUGUGUGAAGAAGGUCUUCGGAUUGUAAAGCACUUUAAGUUGGGAGGAAGGGCAGUAAGUUAAUACCUUGCUGUUUUGACGUUACCAACAGAAUAAGCACCGGCUAACUUCGUG